GAAAUGCGAUAAGUAGUGUGAAUUGCAGAAUUCAGUGAAUCAUCGAAUCUUUGAACGCACAUUGUUCCCCUUGGUAUUCCAUGGGGCAUGCCUGUUCGAGCGUCAUUUGUACCCUCAAGCUCUGCUUGGUGUUGGGUGUUUGUCCCCGUCUCCGCGCGUGGACUCGCCCCAAAGUGAUUGGCAGCCGGCGUACUGGUCCCGGAGCGCAGCACAUGUCGCGCAAACGAGUGCCUUGGUACGGCGGCGUCCAUAAGCCCCUCUCUCACGCUCUUGACCUCGGAUCAGGUAGGGAUACCCGCUGAACUUAAGC
rnacentral:misc_RNA from 1 species